AUUGAACGCUGGCGGCAGGCCUAACACAUGCAAGUCGAGCGAGCGGUGGACGGGUGAGUAAUGUCUGGGAAACUGCCUGAUGGAGGGGGAUAACUACUGGAAACGGUAGCUAAUACCGCGUACCAUAGGAUGAGCCCAAGUGGGAUUGGGUAGUUGGGGGGGUAAUGGCCUACCAAGCCGACGAUCUCUAGCUGGGCUGAGCGGAUGACCAGCCACGCCGUGACUUAGCAACGGCCCGGAUUCCUACGUGAGGCAGCAGUGGGAAAUUUUGGACAAUGGGCGCAAGCCUGAUCCAGCCAUGCCGCGUGUCUGAAGAAGGCCUUCGGGUUGUAAAGGACUUUUGUCAGGGAAGCGGUACCUGAAGAAUAAGCACCGGCUAACUACGUGCCAGCAGCCGCGGUAAUUC
rnacentral:rRNA from 1 species